rnacentral:rRNA from 1 species
UACGUAGGUGGCAAGCGUUGUCCGGAUUCACUGGGCGUAAAGCGCGCGCAGGCGGUCUUCUACGUCUGGGGUGAAAACCCGGGGCUCAACCCCGGGACUGCCUUGGAUACGGGAAGACUUGAGGAUCGGAGAGGCAAGGGAAAUUCCACGUGUAGCGGUGAAAUGCGUAGAGAUGUGGAGGAACACCUGAGGCGAAGGCGCCUUGCUGGCCGAUUUCUGACGCUGAGGCGCGAAAGCGUGGGGAGCAAACAGG